rnacentral:rRNA from 1 species
UGGGGGAAUAUUGCACAAUGGGCGCAAGCCUGAUGCAGCAACGCCGCGUGAGGGACGACGGCCUUCGGUUGUAACCUCUUUUAGUAGGGAAGAAGCGAAAGUGACGGUACCUGCAGAAAAAGACACCGGCUAACUAACGUGCCAGCAGCCGCGGUAAUACGUAGGGUGGCAAGCGUUGUCCGGAAUUAUUGGGCGUAAAGAGCUCGUAGGCGGUUUGUCGCGUCUGCUGUGAAAACCCGAGGCUCAACCUCGGGCCUGCAGUGGGUACGGGCAGACUAGAGUGCGGUAGGGGAGAUUGGAAUUCCUGGUGUAGCGGUGGAAUGCGCAGAUAUCAGGAGGAACACCAAUGGCGAAGGCAGAUCUCUGGGCCGUAACUGACGCUGAGGAGCGAAAGCAUGGGGAGCGAACAGGAUUAGAUACCCUGGUAGUCCAUGCCGUAAACGUUGGGAACUAGA